rnacentral:rRNA from 1 species
GAUGAACGCUAGCUACAGGCUUAACACAUGCCAGUCGAGGGGAAACGACAUCGAAAGCUUGCUUUUGAUGGGCGUCGACCGGCGCACGGGUGAGUAACGCGUAUCCAACCUGCCCAUCACUUGGGAAUAACCUUGCGAAAGUAAGACUAAUACCCAAUGAUAUCCCACGAAGGCAUCGGAAUGGGAUUAAAGAUUUAUCGGUGAUGGAUGGGGAUGCGUCUGAUUAGCUUGUUGGCGGGGUAACGGCCCACCAAGGCAACGAUCAGUAGGGGUUCUGAGAGGAAGGUCCCCCACAUUGGAACUGAGACACGGUCCAAACUCCUACGGGAGGCAGCAGUGAGGAAUAUUGGUCAAUGGGCGAGAGCCUGAACCAGCCAAGUAGCGUGCAGGAAGACGGCCCUAUGGGUUGUAAACUGCUUUUAUAAGGGAAUAAAGUGGGUCACGUGUGACUUUUUGCAUGUACCUUAUGAAUAAGGACCGGCUAAUUCCGUG